GGCACUGUGGUCUAGUAGUCAGGGCACUGGACUGGGAAUCAAGAGACAUUGGGUUUAUUCCUAGCUCUGCCA
rnacentral:tRNA from 1 species